UCCUACGGGUGGCAGCAGUGGGGAAUAUUGCACAAUGGGCGCAAGCCUGAUGCAGCCAUGCCGCGUGUAUGAAGAAGGCCUUCGGGUUGUAAAGUACUUUCAGCGAGGAGGAAGGCGGUGAGGUUAAUAACCUCAUCGAUUGACGUUACUCGCAGAAGAAGCACCGGCUAACUCCGUGCCAGCAGCCGCGGUAAUACGGAGGGUGCAAGCGUUAAUCGGAAUUACUAGGCGUAAAGCGCACGCAGGCGGUCUGUCAAGUCGGAUGUGAAAUCCCCGGGCUCAACCUGGGAACUGCAUUCGAAACUGGCAGGCUAGAGUCUUGUAGAGGGGGGUAGAAUUCCAGGUGUAGCGGUGAAAUGCGUAGAGAUCUGGAGGAAUACCGGUGGCGAAGGCGGCCCCCUGGACAAAGACUGACGCUCAGGUGCGAAAGCGUGGGGAGCAAACAGGAUUAGAUACCCUUGUAGUCCC
rnacentral:rRNA from 1 species